UGGGGAAUAUUGGACAAUGGGCGAAAGCCUGAUCCAGCCAUGCCGCGUGAGUGAUGAAGGCCCUAGGGUUGUAAAGCUCUUUCGGCGGGGACGAUAAUGACGGUACCCGCAGAAGAAGCCCCGGCUAACUUCGUGCCAGCAGCCGCGGUAAUACGAAGGGGGCAAGCGUUGCUCGGAAUCACUGGGCGUAAAGGGCGCGUAGGCGGGCGUCUAAGUCAGGGGUGAAAUCCCGAGGCUCAACCUCGGAAUUGCCUUUGAUACUGGAUGUCUCGAGACCGGAAGAGGUGAGUGGAACUGCGAGUGUAGAGGUGAAAUUCGUAGAUAUUCGCAAGAACACCAGUGGCGAAGGCGGCUCACUGGUCCGGUUCUGACGCUGAGGCGCGAAAGCGUGGGGAGCAAACAG
rnacentral:rRNA from 1 species